GUAUUUGCAUGCUGUAAAAUUUCUAUUUCAUUUCAGGGUGCUGUGGUGAGUACUGUAGAUUGUAGUGCAUAUGUAUAGAAUUCAAUAAAAGAUUAUGACUGAAAACUGCUUUUGAUUCUUAUUGUACAGUUUUAGGGAUUAUAAGUCUAUAGCAACUCUGUCGGUUGGUGUUCAUGAGUGUGAGCUUAAUACAGCAAUGUUUGAGUAGUACAAAAAUGUUUUCGCUUUUGUGGUCGCCAGCUGUCCGUGAUCUGUAAAGUGAAAAUACACAGAGCUAUGAAGCAUACAAAUGUUUCGAAAUUUUAUCAAUGAUUGUAUACUAUGCAUGUUUUGAUUUAGUUCGUUUCAGAUUUGACAUGAGAUGAAAACCUGACAUGAUUUGAACAGAGCUGGGAAACGAAAAGAUUUUCAGAUGUGUGCUGGCAGUUCAAGUCUGGCAGCUGGAGUGAACAGUCGUGUUUUCUGGAGCUCCAACAAUAUGCUAGAAGGAGUGCUUAUCCAGUGAUGAUAUGACAGUUGGAGUGAACAGUGGAGCCAAGCAGUCUUGUUUUUGGAGCUACUCAACAAGCCUUGAAGGUAAGUUUAGAAUUUCUCAAUGUUAGUGAAUUGAAGUACUGUCACUUGCUUUUGGACAGUCGAACAGAACAGACGUGGUUGCGAGAGCUCUCAUAUCUGUUGUGUUAAACUGUUUUUAUGAUAUGUUAUGUUUGUUUGUUUGUUUGUGAUGUACUAUUUUUCAGAUGCUGAUGGCAGUGAUGGGUUUUCAAGCUGACCUGAACAGAAAAGCACUCAUAUGGUAAGUACAAAAUAGUUGUUAUAUGGGAUGUUUUGUGCAUGCUUUUAUGUUUCAGGUGUACUUGCUGACAGCGACGAAGACGAAUCAAGAAGAGGAACAUUGUUGAAAAAGUGAUUGGGACUUGAAAACAGGGUAAGUGUAACACUUGUGUUUGUUUAAUUUGUAACAUGCGUGCUUUGCUCUGUUUCAGAUUUCACAUGCAGAAAUUAAACAGGAUUUCAACUGCUGAGACACAAAUCAUCAAAAGUAAGGUAAGUUUUAAUCCAUUGAUUUGAGUUGUACAAUGUGUUCUUUACUUUAUUUCAGAUUCGAGUCA